UGGGUUAAUGAUUCCCAGCUGGGCAGCUUC
rnacentral:piRNA from 1 species